rnacentral:rRNA from 1 species
GACGAACGCUGGCGGCGUGCUUAACACAUGCAAGUCGAACGGAAAGGCCCUGCUUUUGUGGGGUGCUCGAGUGGCGAACGGGUGAGUAACACGUGAGUAACCUGCCCUUGACUUUGGGAUAACUUCAGGAAACUGGGGCUAAUACCGGAUAGGUGCUCCUGCUGCAUGGUGGGGGUUGGAAAGUUUCGGCGGUUGGGGAUGGACUCGCGGCUUAUCAGCUUGUUGGUGGGGUAGUGGCUUACCAAGGCUUUGACGGGUAGCCGGCCUGAGAGGGUGACCGGCCACAUUGGGACUGAGAUACGGCCCAGACUCCUACGGGAGGCAGCAGUGGGGAAUAUUGCACAAUGGGCGGAAGCCUGAUGCAGCAACGCCGCGUGCGGGAUGACGGCCUUCGGGUUGUAAACCGCUUUCGCCUGUGGCGAAGCGUGAGUGACGGUAAUGGGUAAAGAAGCACCGGCUAACUACGUG